rnacentral:rRNA from 1 species
AUUGAACGCUGGCGGCAUGCCUUACACAUGCAAGUCGAACGGCGGCACGGGGCAACCUGGUGGCGAGUGGCGAACGGGUGAGUAAUGCAUCGGAACGUACCUUUCAGUGGGGGAUAACGUAGCGCAAGUUACGCUAAUACCGCAUAUUCUGUGAGCAGGAAAGAAGGGGAUCGCAAGAACUUGCCCUGAUUGAGCGGCCGAUGUCAGAUUAGCUAGUUGGUGAGGUAAAGGCUUACCAAGGCGACGGUCUGUAGCGGGUCUGAGAGGAUGAUCCGCCACACUGGAACUGAGACACGGUCCAGACUCCUACGGGAGGCAGCAGUGGGGAAUUUUGGACAAUGGGGGCAACCCUGAUCCAGCCAUGCCGCGUGAGUGAAGAAGGCCUUCGGGUUGUAAAGCUCUUUCGGCCGGGAAGAAAUCGCACGGGCUAAUACCCUGUGUGGAUGACGGUACCGGAAUAAGAAGCACCGGCUAACUACGUGCCAGCAGCCGCAGUAAAAC